GGAUAAUAAAAAGGAAAUAAAAAUACAUUAAAAAACAUUUAAUGAACAGGAACAGGAUGUAUAAAUGAAGACAUACAAUAAAUAUGAGGUAAAAUAUCACAGAAAUAGUAGAAAUAUUCCAAUAUUAUAGUAAAAAUCGUUCACUGGCUUCAUUUUGUGUGUUUGGAGGAGAUGGAAGCUGCAGGUUCAGGUGAUAAUAUGGAGCUAAAUAUCCACCUGGAGCAUCAGGUUUCCAUCAGAAAACAACUCAAAUUAAAUGACACGUAAUUUCAAAGUUGGACAUUUGAACUUAGAAUUCUAAUCAUGAAGGUCAAAAUUUAACUUUAAAUCUGUGGUACUUUGGCUCACUCAUGAUAUAGUAAGAAAAAAACAACGAUAUGAUAAAUAAAAAUACAAGUAAUAUUUCUGAAACCUUUCACGUUUUUAGAUUUUAGAGGUCAGAUUUACUGAAAAUAAAACAACAAAACUGUGAUAAAUAAAAACACAAGUCAGACUCUAACUCUGUCAAAUUCAGGAUUUCCAAAACUGAAUUUAGUUUUAUUUUUGUGCCGAGUUACGAAACCUAAACAUGAGAUUUUUCGGUCAAACUCAUGAAAUAUUAAAUCAAAAUAUCGAGAAUAAAAAUUAAUUUAAAAAAUUGAUGGCAGUAAUUAAAACAAACUUUCAAACUGAUGAAAAAUGUCAGAAAUAAUAAACACCUAAGCUUUACUGGCAUUUUCAUUUUUUUUUUUUUCUGGCAGAGAUGGGCUUCCAUAUGACCAUGGAGGCUAAAGCUGUGGUUCUCUGGUCACUCAUUGGUCCCAUAGAGGUGGUGAUGGAGCAGCAGGACCGGGUCUAGCAGCUCCAGGCCCGGGUCUACCAGCUCCAGGCCCGGGUCUACCAGCUCCAGGCCCGGGUCUAGCAGCUCCAGGCCCAGGUCUACCAGCUCCAGGCCCGGGUUUCCAGCUCCAGGCCCGGGUCUACCAGCUCCAGGCCCGGGUUUCCAAGCUCCAGGCCCGGGUCUAGCAGCUCCAGGCCCGGGUUUCCAGCAGCUGAGGCGGAUUUGCGCUGAUUGUGGCACAGCACCAUAAUUGAUGACCUAAUUGAAAGGAGGAGGAUGAUGAUGAUGGAGGGGUGGAGGAGGU
ensembl:lncRNA